rnacentral:misc_RNA from 1 species
UUAAAAUAGCAUUCAUAAGAAAAAUUCGUAACAGGCAUUUCCAUGGCAUACGGUACAUAAGUAUCCUCCCAACACGUUCGUUUUUGUACUAGCAUGGGGCAACCAAAAACCGCUAAAAACAAAUUUUGACUCAACUCAGACUAACAGUACUGAAGGAACACCGUUAUUGCAGAAGCAAGCUAAUAUGAGCUAUCAAUCGGACACCCUCAAUAUCAGCAAAAGAAAUUACUCUGCAGACUUCACCUGCAGUCCGUGGUGAUCUUCAUUUUCCACCGUUGGCUUAACCUAAGUCAUACGGACCCCACCACAACUUCCACCUUCCUCCGUAACAGCUGAACAGGCUCCAUCUACUACUGCAUGAUCUCCACCGUCCAAGUCUUCCCCCAGGAUCCCAUCAAAGCCAGCAGCAGCGGGAUGAAUCCUUGGAAACGGCAAGUAAACACUGUGUACGACAAUCUUCAGAUUACGGAUCACAUCAGGCACUUUAAUUCUCACAUAGUUAAUCCUCAUCGGAUAGGCUGCUG